UGAGAAUAAUUACAUUAUAAAAUUUUUAUAAAUACAAAACUCAUUGAUCUUUAUCCCUAGCUAAAGGCAACCACCUCUUUUUAGCAAGAGUAAAGGAACUGUUUCCUUUAGGUGAUUAAUUACUGCCAGAGGUCUGGAGAUGUGGCUCUUGCUUGGCGUGUGUCCAGAGCCUUUGCAUGUAUUUAUCAUUGUAAUUGCAUGCAGGAAACUGUACUAAUUUUCUUCAGUGUUAACCUGCCUGUCAAAUAAAUUCCCACUCAUCUUGAGGGCACUCACAUCCCACAGAAAAGGCUUAGACUCCUCAAAUAUAACCAUGUGCGAAGUCGCAGAUUCAAUGAAGUUCCUGUGUUUUGGAUUUUUUUUUUGUCUGUUCUUUUUUUCACUUCAGGGGACUAUGAAAGACUACACAUUCGAUGGAAACCAGACUUGGAAUAUUGAUUUUUUCUGAACGGCAUGGUCCAGUUUUUCCUGUGAGCAUCUGAUAUUCAGCUCCUACUCAGCUAUGUGGUCACAAGGGGAAACAACCAAGACUCCAAUUUCAUUCUUCUCAAUCUGUGGGGCAUGAAAAAUCUAUCUCUAAAAAUAUUUACAUUAGGAUUCAUAGCAGCAUCAAAAUUUCAUAAGUAGCAAUGAAAUAAUUUUGUGGUUAGGUGUCACCACAACAUGAGGAAGUAUAUUAAAGGGUCACGGCAUUAGGAAGGUUGAGAACCACAGCUCUGGUUGCUAUGAUCUUAAGCUACACAAUCCCAUGGGUUAGGUUUAUUAACUGUAUUUUGAAUUAAUGAUAUUUUCGAUUUAACAUUAACUUACAGGGAACUAUUGCACUAUAAGUUGGGCAUCUGCAAUAAGAACGAAAUUUCAAGUCACGUGACACAUCUUCGGCUAGUCUAUAACUGACAUGACACAGUGGACUGACUGCUCGAUCACAUUACGUGUCUAUGGAGCAGUUCCACAAAUGCACUCAUCUUUAGAAAUGGAGGGAUUUCUUACUGAGAAUUUCCUACGUGUCUCCCUGGGGGGAAAAAAAACAGCAGAAUUGGGUCCAUCUUCUAUCACACACCCUAUGCUCAGUUCUGCAAGAUGUCAACUACCGAGAGCUGGGCAGUGGUGCCCUUUAGUCAGGUUAGGGUUCAGUUGGUUCCAUUUCUUUCUCCCCUAGGAGCCUCCUGCUGGCUGAUUUGUGUCUACACUGAAGUUUGAGAAAACCAACCAUCACGAACUGCUAUGACUGUGGUGGAAGCUGGGCAAACCCUGCCAUCUUCCUCUCUGUUCUUCUUAGAGACAUGAUCUUCCUUUCAACAGGAACGAAGCCUCUGGCCUUCCACAACUUAUCAGCACCUUGAUCCUGUAAGGGAAGGUUUGCUGCUCAGAGCCCACGUGACUCUCUCCAGACUCAUAUCCGUAGCUGGUUGCUGUCCACCCGAGGACGAGGUCACUGUAGGUCCAGGGCACAGUACAGAGUUGCUGAGGUCCACAUCCAUGAGAUAGAAGGACUUCUGUGAACAGCCAUCCCAGCACCCCUGUCCCCAGGUACAGAUGCAGAAUCCUAAUCUGAUCACAGAGUCUGGAAACAGAGUUUGACUCAUGCCCCGGUUUAAUCAUUGGCUGAAUCCUUUCUUCAAUCUCAGACUAUUAUUAGCAGUCAAGGUAAUUAGAAAAAAUUAGAUCAAAUCUUAGAAGGAUUUUUUUGUUUACAAAGAGCUUAGUGCAAUGGAUUAAACAUCUAUAAAAUGAGUCAGGAAAAAAAAACUUUUUUGAAUAGAGUCCUCCAAUAUCUAUAAAUAGAAAUUUUAUACUUAGUGCUUUAAGCAGUAACUUGGUAAUUCCCUUCACAGACUCAAAGUCUUCUGAAUAUGGAACAUAUAAAGAUAAGUAUGCACCGUUACGCGUGCACGCGCUCACGUGCGCGCAUGCGCGAGCGCGCACACACACACACACACACGCGUGUGCACUUACACACACAUAUACAUACACAGAGGGAGGCAAAGAUGUGUCUUUCAGCAAUUCGAUGUGGACAAAGAUUGAAAGCAGGCUCCGUUUGCCCUCUAAUAACAGGAAACUUUUGUUCACUCACCUAGAUGUUUUGAAAACACUAUGCUGUGAGUAGUAACAGGGGAGGGGGCCUGGGUAUAAUGCUGGGUAUAAUACUGAAUACACCCACUCAUGGGGAACUGAAGCAGGAGCCCCCAGGGCCAGGGUAUCUUCAGGCCCCUAGUGCUCAGGUCAGUUCUGGGUAAGAAGUUCCAGAUGAAGCUCCCCUAUGGGCUAAGGGUGCUGAGCUCACACAAAGCACACUAUAAAAGGAGCAGUUCCCUUGAUGGACUCCUUCCCUUAUAACAUAAUAGCAAGGCAUCACCCUCUAGUACAAACCUAAAUAGGUCUCAAUGAAGUGACAACCACAGGCAGUGGAGUUUCCCCAGGCAGCCUCAGUAAUGACUUCUAGGCAUGCAUGAGAGCAGGAAGGAUGGUUCAUCUUUAUCAUCAAUUUGACUGGGUUUGAAAUCACCUAGGAGACCAUUCUCGGAUGCCUGUGAGUACUUAAGAAGAUUAACUCAGGAUGCAAAGAGCCAUCCCAAAUGUGGGUAACACUAUCCCACGGUCUGGGAUCCUAGAAUAUUAAAAAAAGAAAGAAGGGAGAAGUCGAGUUCAGGACCAUUCAUCCUGUGUACAUGAUAUGGCCAGCCAUCUUGCUACCAUGCCUUCUCUAUCUCUAUCAAGGCCCACAAACCAUGACCCCAAAUAAGCCAUGUACUAUUGUAUAUUAGAUGUUUCGUUUUGUUUUGUUUUAUGGGGGCUUACAUUUAAGAGACUGUCUUGAGUUUCAGGCAAGACUAUAUUAGAGACUCUGGGGGUUUAGAAGAGGGCUGUUCAUGAUUAUGGAAACUUUUAGAGCACACGAAACAUAUUAAACUGCUUUGCUUCCCUACCAGCAUGGACUAUACCCCCCCCACUCCAAACAAUGAACCCAAAGACUUUUCCUCAUUAAGUUCCUCUUGUCAAGAGUUCUGUCCCAGUCCUUAGGAAAACCUCUGAGGGAGCAGGUAACAAACACCUCUCUACAGGUUUAUUUUGCUUUAUUUUGUAUCUCGAUGCUAUACAAAGUAAACCGAUGUCCUACCUUUCCACCUAAGAAAGCAAGCUGAGCUUCCCCCUGAAGGACAGAGGAGGCGUAACACAGAAACCUACAACCAUGGGAGCACUUGGCUUCUCCCUCAACCAUGGACUCACUUUUGAUUGAAGGUCGUUAAUAGUUCUGAACUUUCUAUGAAACGUAAACCAAUUAUGUACCGAGAUAGGGUGGUCCCUUCCCGCCGGUGGGCAUCAUCUCAAAUUAAUUGACUUGUGAGCCAGGAGGGAGGAAGGCUGUAAGGGCCAUCCUCUGCUUUGGAAGAUAGCCAGUUUUUUUCUCCGCUAGCAUACUCAGACCUCAGCAUUCAGCAGAAGAGCACCGGUUCUGUUACCAUCCUGGUUACUAUGCACAACUCUCUGGGAGCAGAACACAGUGACAGCGAAAUACACGAGAGGGACACCUUUAAGAAAGUCUGGUAAUUUAAAAAUGGCUGCGUGCUGUCACACUCUAAUUCAGCUCCAGAAAUUAACAGUAAUGACCCCAGAGAGUUUCGCAAUGUUUUCUGCAUAUAUCCUCUCUGGGUGUGAAACAUGUGCCUCUUCAAGAGGAGAAAAGUCAUCCAGGGGUGCCAGGGAAAUUUCUCAUAUAGCCAGGUGGGAAAUGAGAUCCCGCUGUUAAAACAGAGAGUGUUGCCCUUGGACAUGCUAAGGAUUCCUACUUAGAAAAGUACCGGUCUCAUGUUUCUGGGGAGAAGUCCGAGCAGAGGUCAUUCAACUUGUGGGGAAUCUGAUGAGACAUUUUUAUAUUCUCUAAGUUUCUCCCCCUGUUCUCGGUCCCCCACGGAGUAUUUUGUGUCCCCGCCCCAACUCCACACAUUUUAGAAAUACCAUCUGAUAAAGGAACUUAAUGGAAGACAGUUCAAACUGAAAAGAUUCUUCCCAGGUGCAGUCCAGUGCAGAGGCAUUCUUUGGAUGGAGUUCUGGUGUCCUUAAGUUCCAGCUACUCUUUCUGAAUCCGCCCUUUGCACAGUUUAGCCAAAGGAAGGAGCUCAACUGGUAGGGACAAGGACCUGGGUGUGCUUUAAGCUGAAUUUAAAACCUUCCACCCAAGCCAACAGGUCAACGUAGUUCUUCCUCUAUUGCUCUGGGGCAGAGGUUAAACCUCGGACUUGCCUUUCUUUCAGACCCUGUGUUACUAAAUGACUGAUGGGUUUCUUUGUUUAUAUCCCAAUGUCCUUGUGAUACAAGUUUUUCCAAGGAGGUCACCCCACCCCUGCAACCACCUUGGGUGGGAACUUGAUUUUAUGGUUGAGUUUUAUUCCUCCAGGAGGCUGGCUGCUAAGCCAAGUGACCAGUUACUUAAAAUAAAUAGAUGGAAAUAGAGGAAAGGAAUCCACAAUUGCCAGCAAUUGCCAUCGAAUCUCACUUCUCAAUUAAGUGGUUUCGAGCACUCAACAGUAAUCACCACAGGGGUAUGGGAGAUAUUUGUACGCUGGUGGUUCUUUGGAGGCCAGGGAGUAGAAGGUGGUGGUUUGAGAAUGGCCCCAGAGACCAAUGUGUUUGAAUUUUAGGUCUCAGUGGAACUGUUUGGGAACCCCUUUGGAGUUGAACCACCCUUUUGCAGGCCUUGCAUAUCAGAUAUUUACAUUACGAUUCGUAACAGUAGCAAAAUAACAGCUUUGAAGUAGCAACGACAUAGUUUUAUGAUUGAGAGUCACCACAACGGGAGGAACUGUAUUAAAGGGUCACAGGGUUAGGAAAGUUGAGAAGCGUUGCCUUAGAUUGUCUGUACACGAAUAUCAGCAGGAACACAAGACAGUAUAAAAGAAAGUCUGUUCUAGCCUGAGGAAGGGAGUAGAUUGCAGUUGUGAAAUAACUGAGCAGAAAAGGAAGUUCUGGUCUCAACUGUAACAUUGUAACCAGACAAGAACAAGAGGUCUGUGUGCCGAGCUUCUGUGGAGGCAGCCGAUGGUCUCUCACUCAUACACAGAUGACCAACUAAAGGGUGCCAAAGCUGAGAAGGUUGGCCUGGGCAGCGUAAUACAGUUAUGAGAGGAGGGAGGUACAGAGCUGUUUCACAGGGGCAGGAUGUUUUCUGAUUUCCUUGGAAACUGUGAAUCCCUUGAGCUGCAGUGAGCAUCAUCUUCCAGACUGGAAGAUGGAUGCCACUCUACUAAAGAAGCAGCCCAGGGUUGACACUAAUAAUGCCUUCUUGCCGACCAUGAAGACUAGGAGUGAAAAAUCACAUGGGAAAGAUACAGCUGGGUUCCUUGAUGGACAGCAGGUUUCUCCUCCACUGGGAGUUGGAGGCAGAAAGAUUCUGAGUUCUAGGCUAUCCUAGGUUACAAAGCCCUGUCUCAAAAACCAUAAAAACUCCAUCUUCCCACCCCCAGGAUUUCCCACCUCCCAUGGGACUGUCAAUAUUCUAUCAUGCCUAAGGAGAGGCUCAUGAGGCCUCACCCGUCCCUCAUACCCUAAAGGCAGCUAAUGGCUGUUUAGCUGGGGCAAGUCAUAUAACUUGUGGUGUAGCCACUGGUAAGUUGUUCUUCCUAAGGAAAUAACCCUCCAUUCAUGCUCCUCUCAGCAGCUCUAUUGUAUGCAGUGAGGCACACACACUGGCAAGCAAAAUGAGCUCUACAGGAGUAUGGAGAGGAUCAGAGAGGACAGUGAGAGAUGGAAUGAUUGAUAUAAAUGCAUAUAUGUGUGUAUACAUGCAUACAUAUAUGUGUGUACAUAUAUAUGACAUGCAUAAAAUUCUUAAAUAAUUGCACAUAGAACACACACAUGUACUUGGAAAUACAUUAUAUAUAAUGUUUUCUAUACAUAUAGUUAUAGAGUUAUAGUUCUUUUCCACUGCCUAUGCAUUAUUGACUUAUCCAUGGAUAUUCAUGACAGCUCUGGGCUGCCAGGGAGGUGCCAGAACAGUGUCAUAGAGCUAGCUUGCCCUCACAGGGAAGGGCACACCUUGCCUGUAAUAGCCCCUACAUGCAGAGCCUGGCUGCUCAACCUUCAAUUUCCAAGGACAAUCUAGGGUUAGAGGUGGGUGUUCUCUGCCUUUCCUUUUCAUGGCAAACUAAGCAAAAGUAGGCAGAUGACUUUCUGCGUUUUCUCUUACACAACACUGGAACCUGAAAUAUGUAUGACUUGGAUAGAAGCCUAUUCAUAACACCAACAGCAGGAGGCCAGAACAUCUAAAUAAGCGAAUGACUUCCCAUGGAACGAGCGGACGGGAUGGAUUUCUGCAGUGUGCUGUUAUGCUUUGGGAGAAAAGCUGUUCUCCCCGAGGCUGGCCACGUGUCUGAGGUCCUUAAGACAGCAAGUUCAAAGCAUAGUGACUCUGCUGUACCCACAGCUGAGUGACAAAGCUGCCACCAUCGGAUUUCAUAGUUGAAAUAAGAAAGGCGAGUGAGGGUCAUCCUGUGACGUCAGAUUUGUGGCUAAGUGAGUGGCAGAGCUGGGUCUCUGGGCGCCAGAGUUUAGAGGACCAGUCAGGUAUGUUCAAGGAUAGAAUGCCCAUCAUAAGCAAGUGGAUAGGCUAAGAUAUUUGAGAGUGAAAGGCCAAAUGAAUAAUACAUGUGCCAGGACAAUAAAUUUAAACCACAAGUGUCAUACAGGGUGUAUUGUUACCUUAAUUACUGUACAAUGUGCGUGUGGAGAAACAAAAAAGGUUUUCUCAUUAUUAUUCACCUACUUAAUAAUUAUUUAUUGACUCUUUAAUAAGUACCAUAUGCAGUCCCAGACCAUGAGUUAAUACACUGUCCCUUCCUGCUUAAUGACCACAUCUUCUAGUGCACGCCACUUGUAUGUGCUUAUGUGCCUGAAUGUGCAUAAUGGUCUGUCACACAGGAUGCAUGUAUGUGACAACAAGAAAUACACGUUUAGAAUUCUCACAUUAAAUAUCCAUUAGAAUCCAUAUAGUAGCCCUCAUUCCUCUCAUUUUGACUCCUUAACAUAUUAAAUUUGUUCAGCAUCCUCCCUCUGAUCCAUGGGGACAUAGUCCCAGAUCUGUCUGAAAUCAGAAGUAGUAGGACACCCUAUAUGUGUAUUAUGUUUUGCAUGCAGCUCCACGCUGAUGAUGAAUUUGAACUUAUAAGUUACACAAUGUGUAAAUUCAACAAAAAUUGCUACUGAUAAAUAGAAUAGCUACAGGGAUUUACUUAAGUAGUCAAGUGGAUGCAAUUAUUCUCCCUUGAAUACUCUUUUAUUAAGAUGUUUUUCAGUUAUGUGUGUAUGUGUGUGUCUGUGUGUUUUGGUAUGUGAAUGUAGGUGCUAGCUAGUACCUGUAGUUAUAGGUGGUUGCAAACCCCAUGACAUGAAUGCUGGGAACAAAACUCUGGUCUUCUCUUAGCUGCUGAACCAUCUCACCAACCCCAAUUAUUAUCUCUUGAAAGAAAUAAGACCAUUGAAAUUAAUGAGAUGAUUCAUCCCUCACUCUGCAUGAUCACAGGUAAAUGGAAUUGUGGGAUAUAAGUUACAGGUCAGGGCAUCUCAAAGCAUAAACAUUCUAUACCACCAAAUAGAAAAGGCCACAUCAAGAUUCUGAAAUUCUAGACAUGUGUACCAGUUCGGUUGCUGAUAACACAUUCUCCUUCCUUGUUCUUUCCAUCCCACCAAACUUGGAGUGUUGCUAGGAAACCAUGUUGCUUCUCACUCCGGACCACCAGCUGUUUCUGUGUGCUAUUCCUAUUUAUUCUGGUUGAUUACCACAACUACCCCGUGAAGGAAGCCAGUGGAACACCCGCUGUGGUCUGAUUUUACGGUGAUGGUCUAACCUGGUCAAAAGAGAUAAAAGGGUCAAGAAUGAGUCUCAAGGACAGCUCUUUGUCUCCAAGGAAAGAACGGAUAGAUCCGGUCCACCAAGGCGCUCUGGAGACUACAGGGCAAGGAAAACAAGACUGAUCUCAGUACAGUGCUCAGGGUUCCAGCCUCGGGAUCCUGGGAAACCAGUUCAAGAAUUGGGAGUAGCACAAUUAUCAGUGACUGAGACACAGAAAUAUGGAAAUGGAGCUAUUUCACAGCCCUGUGGUUGCCUGAGCUUAUAUGCCGACAUGAAGAAAUACUAUGGGAUUUGCCUGUCAAGUGUGAGUCAGGCACAGUCACGUGGAGAGCUUGGAUAGAAUCACUAUCGUCUCUGUCUACAGGAUGAGUGGAGAGGUGGAAGGAGAUAAAGACACCUUCAAACAAGGAGUGAACUUUGUACAUCGAGAUGAGAAAGCCUGGGACGGGUGGCGGACAGUGUACAACAUGUCCUAGUUCAUGUUUUAGAGAGAAUGAAGACAAAGAGGACCAUUUAGGAGUUCCAGUCACUAAGACUGGAAACAUAUGGAUGACCCUGAACAUAUGUGGUCCUCGGAAGAGAAAAGAACCUUGACCGCUCUGUUGGUUUUAUUAAGUCAGAGCACAUGGCGGCGGGCACACGGUCUGUACAACAUGAGAUUUGAAGAACAAGAACUUCAUCCCAUGCCCCUCCCCAGAUGGCACAGAAGCUUGGGACAAAGUAGACGAAGUGUGAGGCGAAACUUAUUUUCCUGGCCCGUGAAAUUGUUCUGCAAUACCUGGGCAGUCUUGCUCAAAGCCAGAGCGAGAGAGAGAGAGUGGAGGGUCUGGAGGGCAUGGUGAUGCUGGAGAAAGACUUGAGGGCAUGUGGAAAGGAGACUUUGGUAUAUCUGGGUAUUUGCACAUUCCUUCGGAAGCAUCCAAGGAGGCAAGAGAAAGCUGGGUUGCAAAAUAGGAAGAAAAGAGCAAAAGACUCCAAACAGAUUUCCUUUUUAACUCGAAAACUCCACUUCCUCUUCUGAGAUCUAUUUCAGGGAGCCAGCACCUGACUACUUGAACCUCUCUCUGAGAAAGAGACAAGAAUAGACAAAUCCUGUCAUCUCUAACCUGCCCCAGUGGCCAGAGAAGUAUGGAAUUCAAGGAAGGCAGAUGGACUGGGGAAAUACACCUGCAAUGUGUUUGAACUAUGGUCCAACCCAACUUCAUGAGGGCAAAGUGGCAUGUAAAAUGGAAGAGGGCCAGGGAGUUCAGGACCCUGGGCUAAGACUGUGGUUAAGAGAGACACGAAGGUACGUGUGCUUGAACUUUGACUCACACAAGCAUGGAGACUUUUAACCAAGUCCCACACAGUUAGGAUGACGAUGUCCAUUAAGAUGAGUGGAAUACCACAACUGAGUUAAGAGGACUCCCAAAGGCCACUCAAGAGAACAAGAGCUCAGGGAUUAAGACAGAAGGCAAGAAGCACAGAGACAGCAGAAGAUAGUGGAAAAGCAACAGAAGUGCCAGCUAUCGCGGUGGCUGUCUGGAGCACAGUCACCACUGUCACCAGUGUCACGCCUGCCUUGACAACCUGGGUUAAUGGACAAAUCCACCCUCCUCUAAUCCUCACUCCGGAACAAGCCUUCAGGGAGGACCAAAGAUGAGGCAUCCAACCCUUCUGCCUAGAACUGGGUCUCUUCAUCCAUCAGCAAACCUUCCUCGUGUGUCAGCUUCCUCCUCCCCCAAAGCAGGUCCAUCAUAUCUACCCAGGAUGAGGGCUGUGAAAAUGAGGGAUAAUGAACUUAAGUGCCCACUAGCGGCUGUUAUUAGUGUAAUUAAUCUGAUUAAAAUAAUCAGGGGUGAAGAACAGAAGAGGGUGUCAGAGCAGAAAAGUCCAUAAUGGAAAAGGUCACAAAUGCAGCCCUCCUGGGGUUCUGACUCAGGCACAGGGGGAGACCCAGAGGUGAGCUAUCUGUGUGCAUUUGGUGGGUUGGACUUUGUCGGUCACAGUGUGAACUUCCCAGUUUUGGUUCCCGUCUCUCUCAGGUGAGAGUAUUCACACCUGCACACCCCUACGGGGUGGGGAUGCUGUGAGGGAUAUGUGAAGAGAGCAUCUCGGGCUAUUAUUAGAGGCCAUGAGCUUAUGUGGCUGUUUGCUUGAUAGGGAGGCCCAUGUCCCUUACACCAUUGCUCAGGUGGAAUUAAAACACACAGCUAGUCAAUCAUGCCGGAGCCAGCAAUU